GUUUUUCACGAUGAGGAUAGAAAAGCUCCCUCUUCUGAAAUAUCAAAUUGAGGAAGUUCGCUGGCUGAAUCGAACCAUAAACUAUUGCCACCACUGAGUGA